AGAACGAACGCUGGCGGCAGGCUUAACACAUGCAAGUCGAACGCGUGUAGCAAUACACGAGUGGCGCACGGGUGAGUAACGCGUGGAUAUCUGCCUUUUGGUUCGGAAUAACCCCGGGAAACUGGGGCUAAAUACCGGAUAGUUCCUACGGGAUAAAGAUUUAUCGCCAAAGGAUUAGCCCGCGUAGGAUUAGCUAGUUGGUGAGGUAAUGGCUCACCAAGGCUCCGAUCCUUAGCUGUUCUGAGAGGAAGAUCAGCCACACUGGGACUGAGACACGGCCCAGACUCCUACGGGAGGCAGCAGUUGGGAAUCUUGGACAAUGGGGAAACCCUGAUCCAGCCAUGCCGCGUGAGUGAUGAAGGCCUUCGGGUUGUAAAACUCGUUUCGACGGGACGAUAAUGACGGUACCCGUAGAAGAAGCUCCGGCUAACUUCGUGCCAGCAGCCGC
rnacentral:rRNA from 1 species